rnacentral:rRNA from 1 species
UACGUAGGGAGCGAGCGUUGUCCGGAUUCAUUGGGCGUAAAGAGCUCGUAGGCGGCUUGGCAAGUCGGGUGUGAAAACUCCAGGCUCAACCUGGAGACGCCACCCGAUACUGCCAUGGCUAGAGUCCGGUAGGGGACCACGGAAUUCCUGGUGUAGCGGUGAAAUGCGCAGAUAUCAGGAGGAACACCGGUGGCGAAGGCGCUCAUCUGGCCCAAUACUGACGCUGAGGCGCGAAAGCUAGGGGAGCAAACGGG